rnacentral:rRNA from 1 species
UACGUAGGGCGCAAGCGUUGUCCGGAAUUAUUGGGCGUAAAGAGCUCGUAGGCGGUCUGUCGCGUCCGUUGUGAAAACUCGGGGCUCAACCUCGGGCUUGCAGUGGAUACGGGCAGACUAGAGUGCGGUAGGGGAGACUGGAAUUCCUGGUGUAGCGGUGGAAUGCGCAGAUAUCAGGAGGAACACCGAUGGCGAAGGCGGCUACCUGGCCCACUCUUGACGCUGAGGCGCGAAAGCUAGGGGAGCAAACGGG